UACGGAGGGCGCAAGCGUUGUUCGGAAUCACUGGGCGUAAAGCGCGUGUAGGCGGCUUGGCAAGUCGGGUGUGAAAGCCCGGGGCCUAACCCCGGAACUGCAUUCGAAACUGCCUCGCUCGAGUCCCGGAGAGGAUGGUGGAAUUCCCGGUGUAGUGGUGAAAUACGUAGAGAUCGGGAGGAACACCAGCGGCGAAGGCGGCCAUCCGGACGGUGACUGACGAUGAGACGCGAAAGCGUGGGGAGCAAACAGG
rnacentral:rRNA from 1 species